rnacentral:rRNA from 1 species
AGCGGCAGGCUUAAUACAUGCAAGUCGAACGGUAACAGGUCUUCGGACGCUGACGAGUGGCGCACGGGUGAGGAACACGUACACAAUCUACCUUAUACUGGAGAAUAGCCCCGGGAAACUGGGAUUAAUACUCCAUAGUCUUUAAUGAUCACAUGAGAAAUAAAGUAAAGCUUCGGCGGUAUAAGAUGAGUGUGCGUCCCAUUAGAUUGUUGGUGAGGUAACGGCUCACCAAGUCGACGAUGGGUAGCUGGCGUGAGAGCGCGACCAGCCACACUGGCACUGAGACACGGGCCAGACUCCUACGGGAGGCAGCAGUAGGGAAUAUUGGUCAAUGGACGAAAGUCUGAACCAGCCAUGCCGCGUGGAGGAUGACUGCCCUCUGGGUUGUAAACUCCUUUUAUAUGGGAAGAAACCUCUGGAUUCACUCCAGAGCUGACGGUAUCAUAUGAAUAAGCACCGGCUAACUCCGUG